rnacentral:lncRNA from 1 species
CACGGGUGUGACGUCAACAGUCACGAGGCUGUGCACUUGAAGCCUCUCAGAACUACCUAGCCAAAGGACAAAGGAAAGUCAGAGGUGGAUUCAUCAUCUUGGUACCAACACCUUGGAGAACCAGGGUGACUGACAGAGCAGAGCUGUCGUGAACCCCACUGCUUGGGCCUCACCCACCCUCUAUGUUGCUAGCUGGUUACUUCUACUGGAAGCCAUUUUUUUUUCGGUUUGUGUGUAUGUAUUAUGACUGUGCAGUUGGUGACGCGCUCUGGUGGGUCUCUUUCCCCCUGCAGCUCUCUAGACGAGACAGCUUAUGAAAGACUUGCGGAAGAGACACUGGACGCCCUGGCAGAAUUCUUUGAAGACCUUGCAGACAAGCCCUACACCCUGAAGGACUAUGAUGUCUCUUUUGGGGUACCUCUUGGCUUUGUUAUUUUCUGUUUCCUCCUUGAAAACUGUAACUUAGGCUGGAAAUGU